UUGGUAUGCAGUGUCUUUGUUUGAAGGGGCACAAGUACCUAUGAGGACAUUUGCAUAUCUCAAAAAACAUGGCCGCCAUUGGCCAAACAAUUUUAAGCACCUAUUUGAAAGGGUUAACGGAUGUUGAUCGGAACGAAACUCGCUGGGUGCGUUCGACUCAUGAACCUUAAGGUCUGUAAGAAUUUUGAAAGAAAUCGGCCACUAGUUGGCGCUAACGAGUUUAUUGGCUCUGUAAUCACGUGGUGUUUCACUUAUCAACACAAUAUGCAUAUCAUUUGAUAGAUCUCCUCAUAAUGCACAACUUUGCCUCAAGAACCAUUGCUGUCAAUCAAAUUGUUCAAAUGUUAUUCACAAAUAUGUUAAAAACCUACUUUUACGAACUAGUCCUAGGUUUUUUGUCCGAUCGGAACCAAACCACUGCAGUAAUAUUCUGUGGACUCUCUAGAUCAAUAAUUAUUAAAAAAAUGUUGAAUUUUGUCCUUUGGUUAGCUGUAACGGGGUAAUUUAGAAAAAGGGGUGUGGCCAAACAUACCCCAAAGCCUAUAAAACCUAAAGGAAAACUCAAAACUUUAUGAAACUAAGUGAAAUCAUGUAACAGGUGACUCUUAACAAGCAUGCAAAGUUUCAUGGAGAUCAGACCAUAGGUGGCGCUAUAACAGUAGAAAAGGUCUCAAAACACAAGAUUUAUAUGGUAAAUGGCCCCAAAUUGUUUGAAAAUGCUCAUAUAUUCACUCAAAAACACUAAAUCUUCAUAUCAUAUGAUAGAUCUCCUCAUUCUGAACAACUUUGCCUCUGGGACCAAUGUUGUCAAUAAAGCUGUUAAUUAAAUAUUCAAGAUUAUUUUAAAAAGUUACUUUGGCAUACUUGUGAUACGGUUUAAGAUGAAAAUCAAUAAAACCACUGAAGUACAAUUCUGUAGACUCUGAAGGUCAAUAAUUAUCAAAAACAUGUUGAACAAUUGCAUUUGGACAACUAUAAACCAGUAAUUUUAUAAUAUGUUCUUUUCAUAGUGUACACAAAGGCCUAUUAAUACAAACAGAAAGCCCACACAUUAUCAAAACUGUGUAAAACAAUGCAUAAUUUCAUUCUAAACAAGCAUGCAAAAUUUAAGAGAGAUUGGGCAAAAAAAAAAAAAAACCACUAUAACAGUUAUGUUUAAAAACAGUGUUGCUUGAG